rnacentral:lncRNA from 1 species
GACGCCAGACUACGUCCCACGCCUUCCCCUCGACCUUGCGCAGCUGCCAGUGGCAUCCUUGCGCCGCCUAGUGGACUGUAGCGGCGGCGGGAAGCCAGGGUCGGUUUGAGCCCGUUUUGAGUUCAACGUCGAUUUCUACUUGUACCAGCCACCAAAAUUCGAGAUUCUUGGCUCAUUAGACUCGCCUCAACUUUCUGAACAAGCACCAAGAAGGCCCGGACCUGGGGAGAUCGAUUUCACGCUCGUCGGAGGCUUCGCCGUUUUCUGCAAUUUUUCCGGCCAAACCGGACUGUUUGAGGUAUUUUCGAUCACUUGCGUUCAUUUUCUGACUUCAAGCUAGUUAUGAAAGUUGCUCAAAAUGAUUAAACGAAGAGGGAAAGCUCGGCCCCAACACCAUUGGCGGUGGUCGGCGGCGGAUCUGUCCCUAACUCUGGCGGCCUUUUCCGGCCACCUCCGGGGGUCCCAAGGGCAAUUUCUGCCCAUUUUUAUGUUCUACGUGUUCAUACGAUCAUUUAGAUAUUUAGCAUGUGAAUUUUGGAGAUCGUAUGAUUAAGUUAUGAAUUUUCCAAUUUCGAUCGUUCGAUUUGUGAUCUGUGAAGAUCGGACCGUCCGUUGGACUUGUAGUUUGAUAUGAUGAUCGUAGGACUGUCCCGAUGACUUUGUGUGGUCACGGGUGAAGAUCCGACCGUUGGAUCUUCAUAUAAGUGCGUUUUUGAAUUGUACGCUAAGUUAAUUAUCGUAUUUGGUUAGGUGAUUGACGGUUUGAGUUGGCAGACGGUUGUGAACCGUAUUUUAAGCUGUUGAGAAGACGCAGCGGGA